AAACCGCUUAGGGGUUAAGCCCGAUGAACCUGAAUAUCUGAAAUGAGAAAUUCAAUAUUAAUAUUUGAUUUAUUUAAUAAAAUAAAUAAUUUGUUGGUAUGCACUUUUCUCAUAGUAAGACAUUGCAAUCCAUUAGUGUUAUAUUUUAUGUAAAUAAAAUGAUUUAUUAAAUGGUCUAUUUUGUAUAGUUUAUUUUUUUAUAUUUUAUAUAUUUAUUUAUGUUGAAUUAAAAAAGUAAUACAAUUGAUAGAACCUAAUAAAUAGCUAAUGGAAUUUAAAAUAUCAUGCUCAACACUUUAUUGUGUAUAACGAUUUAUUAUUAUUUUUAUAAUAUUAAAUGCAUGUUUAUAGUAUGUAUAUGAUUAGCAAUGCGAUAGAUUUGGGAUACCUUCGGGACCCGUCUUGAAACACGGACCAAGAAGUCUAACAUGUGUGCAAGUUAUUGGGUAUAUUGAUGAAACCUAAAAGCAUAAUUAAAAUAACUAUUUUGGGAUUACAAGUAAUUUAAUUUUAAAUUAUUUCUCAAUCCCGGGGCGUUCUAAUUAAACAUGUUUUAAGUAAUUGAGACCUCUGUUUAAGAGCGUACCUUGAGCAUACAUGCUGUGACCCGAAAGAUGGUGAACUAUACCUGAUCAGGUUGAAGUCAGGGGAAACCCUGAUGGAGGACCGAAACAGUUCUGACGUGCAAAUCGAUUGUCGGAAUUGGGUAUAGGGGCGAAAGACCAAUCGAACCAUCUAGUAGCUGGUUCCCUCCGAAGUUUCCCUCAGGAUAGCUGGUGCAAUGAUAAAUUAUAUAUAUAAUCUUAUCUGGUAAAGCGAAUGAUUAGAGGCCUUGGGGCCGAAACGACCUCAACCUAUUCUCAAACUUUAAAUGGGUAAGAACCUCAUCUUUCUUGAACUGAAGAUAUAGGGGUUUUGAUAUAUUGUGCCCAGUGGGCCACUUUUGGUAAGCAGAACUGGCGCUGUGGGAUGAACCAAACGUGAUGUUACGGCGCCCAAAUUAAUGACUCAUAUUGAUACCAUGAAAGGCGUUGGUUGCUUAAAACAGCAGGACGGUGGACAUGGAAGUCGUAAUCCGCUAAGGAGUGUGUAACAACUCACCUGCCGAAGCAACUAGCCCUUAAAAUGGAUGGCGCUCAAGUCAUAUGCCUAUACAUCACCGCUAAAAUAUAUAAUAUAUAUAUAUAAUAAUGUGUAUAUGUUUUAAAAUUUUAGUGAGUAGGAGGGUACAAUGGUGUGCGCAGAAGUGUUUGGCGUAAGCCUGCAUGGAGCCGCUAUUGGAACAGAUCUUGGUGGUAGUAGCAAAUAAUCGAAUGAGACCUUGGAGGACUGAAGUGGAGAAGGGUUUCGUGUGAACAGUGGUUGAUCACGAGUUAGUCGGUCCUAAGCUUUAAGCGAAAGCUGUUUAAUUUAUGUU
rnacentral:rRNA from 1 species